UCCCUGGAGGACUAGUGGUUAGGCCAUGAUGCUCUCACUGCGUGGCCCGGGUUCGAUUCCCAGGCAGGGAA